UAAGAGGGAACCCGGCGAGAGUCCGGGACUGCCCCGCAGCGGUAUGUGGGAACGACCGCCGUCAGGAGCACUGGGCGCGCGACGGCGCGCCUGGGAAGCGACGGCCAGUAGGUCCGUCGGCGCCACCGGUGCCGACGGGAGCCCACGAGUCCGAAGACCU
rnacentral:ncRNA from 2 species